ensembl:lncRNA
ACACACUGGGCAGGAAGGAGAGUAUCCAACUCAAGUGUAAAAGGAUGCAAGCGGGUGUCCAGAUCAGUGACUUCAAACUAGGACUACACCAAUCAGGACCAAUGGAGGAUGGACACCUAAAGGCAUUCCACAAGGAGAGUCUGAAGUUGAAAGGAACCUAAAUUGGUAUUCAAGAUGACCUUCAGACCUGUAAUGAGACGGCUCUUCCUACCUGGCUGGAUUGAUGGAGAGCCCUGUGGAUCUUGUCUUGCUCUCCGUUGCACAUCUUCUCAGGCUGUACUGUAUUUGUUUCUCGACAGGACUAGCUGAACGAUUGGUUCUCUUAAAUCAGAACAAAUCUGGGAACUCCAACUAGUGCGCUCUUCGAGCUGAAGUUGUGCUCUUCAGCUGAGGAGGUAAGGAAACCUUCACUGGGGCUUCAAGGUGUAAAGAGGAGAAUGUUUCAAAGUGUUCCAUGGUACUCUGAAGACCCUUGUUGUGUUCCACUGGCUGAGAGGAAGAACCCUCACAUCUUCCUCUUGGCCUUUCUCCUCUGAGAAUCCUGGCGCCAUCUAGAAGGAUAUUCCAGCUCGUGUAACUGAUGUCACGACAGAUUCUCAAACACUUGGUUUCUCCUGAGGGGCAUGUCUAGAGAACUGAAGACUUCAGACAGCACUGUAUCCCAGCAUGCAUCUCUGCUCACUCAGACCACACCCCAAUGAGUAGGAUGCAACACUCUAGUGAUGGUGAUGUAGAGUUUUAUAAGUAACGAGGAGCAGACAAAGGUGAUUAGAACAUGUCAAGUCGGUAAAUCUUUAAACCAUGAAGAUGGUUUGAUAGUUCAGGAAUUGGGUUUCUUUUUAUUAUGGGCAGUCCUUUCACUCAGAUGCCCACAUCUCACUGGACCUGUACAUGUGUUGGCUGGCUUGCAUGAUUUGCUGUUGGUGAUGAGGCGGUCAGGUUGACAUUGCAGGGCUAUGUUUGGCUCUCUGUGAGCUCAAUGUUUAGAUUUGCUCUGUAUGGUUUGUACCUGAAUAAUCUAGAUAAUUGUCAAAUGUAGACACGGUUUUGUAUUGAAUGAUUUUAGGUUUAUAGUUGUUGUGGGAAGUAUAUGGUAGUUUGGUUCUUCAUACGGUUUUGAGUGAUAUAAUUUGUACACACUGGGUGCAUAAUAAUGUAAAGGUACACUGAAUAGUAUUAAUGACCAACAGCAACAAACAGAUCUCCUCAAGGUAAGUCUGUUGGCUGUGUGUUAAUGAAGACCAUCGCUGGACUUCAGGAUGUUCCUCCGUUCAGCUCAAGGUUAGGCGCUGGAUCUGUUUUUUCUUUGGUUGGUUCCGGCCGGAAUGUUCGGAUUCCAGUCGGACGGUUUGUGCUUCCCGCCGUGGAAGGUUCUGAGUGCGGUCACUUGAUUUAGUCCCAAUGGUUAGCAUAGAACAUUGUAGUCUUGACAACCAUAAGAAACCACCUGGCAGUUAGUUGGACGGGAGCCCCCUGAGGGAAAUCUGGCGGAACGUUCUGGAUUGUAUUUGCGUAACCUCGAGCCGUUGCCAACGGAAACUAUUUUUCAGUCGUUUCCAUUGGGAAUUGUUGCCCCUUAUCUUAAACAACUUAAGUUUGAUAUUAAAUACAUAUUGACACGUACGUCGUAUAUGUUGAUAAUUUCUGAUGGUUGCGCCGUACUUUUAACCACGUUGACGUGACGGGACUCUCGUUGCGUACAAAACAGCGUUCUACUUGCGGGUCCAUUUUGACAUCAGUGAAGGCUGAAAAUCAUUUCAAGGUGGAAGACAAUUUGACAUUACUUCAACUGAACCCAGCACCUGAAUAUGGCUGAGUAUAUUUGAUUUAAUAUUGAUACUGCUUAGUGUUCUUUGUUACUUCAGCUUUUGUAUGUUCUAAAUAUCUGCUGUCAUUAAUUGCCACAGAAAUUAAACCCUACCCAACGGAAUGAUGUUAAACAACGACUUUGGUGCAGAGUUAACAACUAGAUAAUAUCAAAGCUUAAAUAAUGGCCGUCCUUCCCACAUGUUAAAGUAGAAGAUACUCUAGAACUGUGCAUGGUUAAAAAGUUAACGUGUAGUUUGUCCCAAGGUGUCUGCCUCCUCACCCAGAGCAAGACCUCCACCUCCUCACCCAGAGCAAGACCUCCACCUCCGGUCAGAAGUCCUCCAGAACAGCUGAAAGGUGAGGCUGAGAGGCUUGGGACCAGAGGCUUGUGGCGCCAGGAUGGACCGGAGACUGAGGCUGGAGACCAGGGGCCUGCAGCACCGGGACCAGAGGGUAACCAUCACCAAGCUCAUCUGAAACACUAAAAUCCAUGACCAAGAAUCCAUGGCUGAAGGAGCUGAUGGAGGAGCCGUGCAGAAGGAGGUGAUGGAGUCGUGCUGAAGGCCCUGCCUGGUGGAGGAGCUGAUGGAGGCCCUGCCUGGUGAAGGACGUCUGUCGUGGGGUAGAUGGAGCCUGACUCUGAAACCAGGACUCUGUCUGAGGAGAGCUGUUGGAGGAGCUGAGACGCUGGAGGACGACUAGGAACCGACCAACAAGGAUUCCUCAUAAAACGUGUUUCUGGAGCGGAGGCGAGCUGGUAGGGGAGCCGUGAAUCUGGAGGAUGACCAUCACUCUACCAACAAGGAUUGCGUUAGGGCCAGACUCGCGCUGUUUGUUCCAGACCAGGACACUGGCUGAGGAGAGUUGAUGGAGGAGCAAAGAGUCUGGAGGACGACAUCACUCUACCAACCAGGAUCCUCAGACAAAUUACGUUUGUAACCAGAACAGGAAUCUGGAGGACUGAUGGAGAAGCCGUACAUCUGGAAGGCAAAUCCUGAGGACAACCAGGACUCUACCAUCAAGGAUUCCUCACACACCUGAGCUGAACCUCACCUGAUCCUGUUUGGUCGGGGGUAGAACCACCUGAGCUGAACCCCACCUGAUCCUGACAUCCUGCUGGUCCCGUCUCCUCAGUUUAUCUGAGCCUCGUCCUCCAGAAGACCUGCUGAGCUCAGCGGUCUGAGGCUGAUGGAUCAAUGACCUCCAGUGGGAGGGAUCUUCUUGACCCCAAAUGUAACCGUGUGCUUCCACACGCCUUUCUCUCACGUCUGUCACUAACCUCACUACUUCACUACUCUCUACUGCUUCCUCUUUUCUUCCUUCUCUGUGGUUCAAACCUUUACACUGAAGGCGCGUCUUCCUGCCCACAGAGGGUUUAGCGUUAGGGUUGAGAGUCAGGGUUUAGAGUCAGGGACAGAGCUGUUCAGGGAGGACUGCUUUUACACAAACCUCUUCACUUGCUUUCGGAAUGGUGGUGUCAUUUUGAAAAGAUUCAUUUGGGAAAAGGUUUCCUCUGCUUUCCUUUACAAAAUUUUAUUAAACUUCUGUCAAGUGUUUUUGUUUAUAUAUUAAAAUCCCACAUUGACUUCUACAUGUUUGGUGCGGUUCAUUUAAUUGUCCUUUAACUUGGUUAAUGUCAAGCUAAACUCCUGCAAUACAUUUAAUAUACAUGAUUGUUAUUCAGCAAUGUUCACAUAAUGCAUUUUGUAAAAAUAUGAAACCUCCAUAUUACUACUAUAUUCAAGCCUAUUCAUGCAUUUAACAAUGUACAUACUGCCCUGCAGGCCAUUCUCUGCUACUUCAACACGUUCAGUCCACCAACCGGUCUCACAUCAAUGUACUAUAGCUACGUUGGUUCAAACGGAAAAUGUAGUUUGGUGUGAGACUGUUGUCCAGCAGAGGGAGCCAUCAUACACCUUAAUUAUACAGGAAUGUCUGUAUUUACAUUUUAAGAUGUUCAUGUGCUGGUCUAGUUUGUCUGCAAAUAACUCUGCCUCCAGCAACAGGAUUGGUCAAAACAUAUGAUGUGAAUAUUUGAGUCAGUGUGUGACGUGACUUUACAGACAAAUCGAUUCAGCACACCACGGUGCAUGUCCUCAUUCUCUCUCUCUCUCUCCCCCACCCCUCUCUCUCCCCCUCUCUCUC